GACGAACGCUGGCGGCGUGGAUUAGGCAUGCAAGUCGAACGGUAUCAUCCUUUCGGGGGUGAGAGAGUGGCGAACUGGUGAGUAACACGUAGGUUAUCUACCCUCAAGACGGGGACAACCCAGGGAAACUUGGGCUAAUACCGGAUGUGAGCAACUUUUAGUUGUUUGAAAGGUGGCGUAAGCUGUCGCUUGGGGAUGAGCCUGCGUCCUAUUAGUUAGUUGGUGAGGUAACGGCUCACCUAGGCAAUGAUAGGUAGGCGGCCUUAACGGGUGGUCGCCCACACUGGGAUUGAGAUACGGCCCAGACUCCUACGGGAGGCAGCAGUCGAGAAUAGUCUACAAUGGUCGGAAGACUGAUAGUGCGACGCCGCGUGAACGAUGAAUCCCUUCGGGGUGUAAAGUUCUUUUAUAUGUGAGCAGUGCUUCUUAUAUUAACAGUAUGGGGAAGAGAUAUUAGCAUAUGAAAUAAGCAACGGCUAACUCCGUGCCAGCAGCCGACGGU
rnacentral:rRNA from 1 species